UGGUGGAGUGAUUUGUCUGGUUAAUUCCGAUAACGAACGAGACUCUGUCCUGCUAACUAGGUUGUGUUUUCUGGGGUUGGUGUUCUGGUGUUCCUUCUCGGGGCGCCGGCCCAAUCCACUUGUGAACACAACACUCUUCUUAGAGGGACUGGCGGCUGUUAGCCGCACGAGAUAGAGCAAUAACA
rnacentral:rRNA from 1 species